rnacentral:rRNA from 1 species
UACGUAGGGUGCGAGCGUUGUCCGGAAUUAUUGGGCGUAAAGGGCUCGUAGGCGGUCUGUUGCGUCGGGAGUGAAAACUCAGGGCUUAACCCUGAGCCUCCUUCCGAUACGGGCAGACUAGAGGUAUGCAGGGGAGAACGGAAUUCCUGGUGUAGCGGUGAAAUGCGCAGAUAUCAGGAGGAACACCGGUGGCGAAGGCGGUUCUCUGGGCAUUACCUGACGCUGAGGAGCGAAAGUGUGGGGAGCGAACAGG